AUCGAGGUCGCUACCCCUCGCGUUAUCCUAUGGGCGCACUGUUAGGACAUUGCGGCCUGAUCUUAAGGAUAGAACAGACGCCGUGGCAUCAUCUGGGGUACUGCUUAACGGCUUCAAUUCACAGACCUUUUGCUCAGUGGCGUCGUAUACAUAGCAUUUUUUACCAAUUAGUAGCUUGUUAUAUCUUAAUUUAAAUGGUACAUUCUGACUUUUUCCGUAUUCGAUAAGAGUUCUUCUGGCGUAGCGUGUAGCGGGACUGAAAUCUUCACUAACAGAGAUACUCAUUUCUUUUAGCAUGGGGCGGUUCGAUAAUAUUUCUUCCUUCGUUUUAUAGGCAGCAAAAUUUACUAUCAACGGACGAGACUUCCCUGGACUGAAUCUACCAAUACGAUGUGCACGCGAUAUGCUGUCACUAGUUAUUCUGAGGCUUAGAGUGUUUGUUAGAAUGUCCAGUAUCUUUUCCUCCGAUUGAACAGCGGAUUCGGUGGCGAUGUCCGUUAAACCAUAAAAAAGUAGAUUAUUUCUACGAGAGCGGUCUUCCGCAUCAUCCAGUCGGGAGCGUAGGAAUGCAGCGUCCUUUGCUAUAUUCCCAACCGCUUCACGCACGUCACCGAGGUCAUGCUGCCAUUUUUCAAAUCUACCGGUCUGAUUUUCUACCGUCGCAAGUCUUUCUUUAAUUUCUGAUAUCGCUUCCGCCACCGUUUCCUGAUGCGUUUCUAACUCUGUAAUAGUGUCCAGCAUUGCUUUUUGGUUAUCCUCCAUUCUUUUAGACCUUUGAUUCAAAUCGCGUAAGGUUUUCAGAACUUCGGAUAAUGUAUCUGAUGGUUGUUCUCUCGGAGGACCAGGAUUACUCUCAACGUCACCGCACAAAAGCAAUAACAAAGAACAAAAAGGACCAAGCACUGCUUCUGGGCAUGGAAGCACGAUUAUAAAUGGAUCGUCGGAUUUUAGUCUUGAUAUGGAAAGGCAACUGACCUGUGGAAUGAACAAAAAGAUGCGUGAGGCCAUCAUUCCUGUCGUGCGUCCAUGCCCACUGAAGAUUUCGUUCGGAGCGCUGGCUUUAAGCUGACUCGCUAUCGGCGCAGCUGAAGACGCUGAAGGUGCGCAGUGCACAUCAGGUGACAAAUGACCAGUGACGUAACCACCCUGCCAGAGGAGGGCGGCAGCGUACGGACACAUGGAAGCUGGGAAAGCACCCGCCAUUGCAGCUUCGUCGUAAGGGUCACCAACUGUACCGUUGCUGGUGAGGCACUGGUCGACAGGGAGCAUCUCAUUUGGUGGCAAGCAGCAGUCGCCAGGAUAAGAUGAGGUUGCGCCUUCCUCACGUACUGCGCCCGGGAGAGCGCCAUCAAAGCCCAGCACGCCCUCCACGAGCAGAAGACUCUUCCUGGGCUCCGGACGAUUGACGCCCAUCGCCGAGCUGCGCGGAAAAUUGUGCCGGUCGAUAUUCGAUUACCCCUGGCGAGUGAUUGGUGGAAGGUAGGGUGGUGUGGAGGGCAACCAAGAUUCGAAGAACGCACCCCGAGACUCGGCAGAAUGGGUCCGAGCCCGACGAGAAAAAUAAAGAGCAGGGCGUCGCCCUCUCCGUCGAUUUCUUCGAGAAACAA